rnacentral:rRNA from 1 species
CCCUUAGACGUUCUGGGCCGCACGCGCGCUACACUGACCAGUGCAACAAGCAUCCGUCCUUGGCCGACAGGCCCGGGCAAUCUUUGAACGCUGGUCGUGAUGGGGCUAGAUUCUUGCAAUUAUUAAUCUCCAACGAGGAAUUCCUAGUAAACGCAAGUCAUCAGCUUGCAUUGAUUACGUCCCUGCCCUUUGUACACACCGCCCGUCGCACCUACCGAUUGAAUGGUCCGGUGAAAUCUUGGGAUUUUGUUUUGUUUGCAUUUAUUUGUAUCGAGACGAGAGAACUUGAGUAAACCUUACCAUUUAGAGGAAGGUGAAGUCGUAACA